rnacentral:rRNA from 1 species
UACGUAGGGACCGAGCGUUGUCCGGAAUCAUUGGGCGUAAAGAGCGUGUAGGCGGCCACUUAAGUCCUGCGUGAAAUCUUGCGGCUCAACCGCAAGCGGUCGUGGGAAACUGGGUGGCUAGAGUGCGGGAGAGGAGAGUGGAAUUCCUGGUGUAGAGGUGAAAUUCGUAGAUAUUGGGAAGAACACCGGUGGCGAAGGCGGCGACCUGGUCCUUGACUGACGCUGAGGCGCGAAAGCGUGGGGAGCAAACAGG